rnacentral:misc_RNA from 1 species
AAAGAGAACUCAGGGUCGCUUCUAAUCAGAUCCUCUCUCUUUUUCAAGAUAAUUACCCUGAAAUGGUAGCUCGUAAGAUCUUCAUCAACGUCCCGUGGUACUUCAGCUUGUUGUAUUCGAUGUUCAGUCCGUUCCUGACUCAGCGAACUAAGAGCAAGUUCGUGAUCUCCAAGGAAGGAAAUGUUGCAGAGACUCUGUACAAAUUUAUAAGGCCUGAGGAUAUUCCAGUUCAGUAUGGAGGACUAAGUCGACCCAGCGAUUUGCAGAAUGGCCCACCUAAACCGGCUUCGGAGUUUACUGUAAAAGGAGGAGAGAAAGUGAACAUUCAGAUUGAAGGGAUUGAGGUUGGUGCAACAAUUACAUGGGACAUAGUGGUCGG